rnacentral:rRNA from 1 species
GUAAUCUAAACUUAAAUAAUAUUAUAGCUCACGAAACCAAGCGAGCUAAAUUUUUUCUAUAUUAGAAGAUAACUUUAAUGUUACAAUAUUAUUUGUACUAUAAAAAUUUAGGGGUGAUAGGCCUUUCAAGUCUGGUGAUAUCUUGAUUAUAAGGAAACAUAUUUAGUAUGUAAAUUCAACCUAACAAUGUUAAGGUUUUUAGGAAAUAUAAUUUUAGAAUUGGUUUUUCCUGUCUGUGUAAAAACUGCAGGUUUAAAUAUUACAUAACAUAUAUACACUAUAUAUAUAUAUAUAUUACUUAUAUUUUUAAAUUAAGUUUUAUUAUUAAAAUAAUUAUGAUUUCAUUAGUAUUUAACAAAAUUAAUUUAAGGAAUUCGGCAAAUUUUAUUCUCGACUGUUUAACAAAAACAUUGCCUUAAGAUAUUUACUUAAGGUAUACCCUGCUCAAUGAAUAUAAUUAAAUAGCCGCAGUACCUUGACUGUGCAAAGGUAGCAUAAUCAGUUGGCUUAUAAUUGAAGUCUAGUAUGAAUGGGAUUUUGGGGAUAAGCUGUCUUAAAUAAAUAAUUAGAACUUUCUAAUUAAGUGAAAACUCUUAAGAAGAGAAAAAAGACGAGAAGACCCUAGAAAUUUUGUAUAUUUAUAUUUAAAUAAUAUAUUUUGUUGGGGCGACAUGGUAACAUUGAAAUUAACUUACCUAAAACGUAUAGGAAACUAUUUAGUUGUGUAAUAUAAAUUACUCUAGGGAUAACAGCAUAAUUUAUUAUAGAUUGUGACCUCGAUGUUGGACUAGGGAAUAAUUUACUUAAAAGGUAAGUUAGUAGGCUCUGUUCGAGCUAUUUUACCUACGUGAUCUGAGUUCAGACCGG